GGUCUAGGUUACUGGAGGAGGGUAAAUAGAAACAGCUACAGUGUUGCCAGUAAGACCUCGUGCCUCUGACUUCAGCAGAAAUCCAACCCAGAUGCAUGGCACGCUCCCUGCUCCACUUCUCAGGAAGGAAAAAGGAUCAAGACAGCAGACGAGGUUCAAAUAUACCUGCUGUUUAAUGAGCUUGUGUUGAGAAUCUAAAGGCCCUAUGAUGAUUGGCUGCUACACUCCUAGAUUAUAAAUAUUGUCCUGUCACUGGUAACCCAAGUAUCUCAUAUGGAGUGCUAUUAGUGCCAACAGAAAUUUAACUGAAUUAAAUGUUGAUUAAAGGUAUGUUGUCACUCUAUAGUCCCAGAUAGAUCUAGGUGGGUUAGACGUAGUACAAGAGGUUUUGGUCCAGGUCUACAGUAUAUCUCAAUAGGUUUGGUCCAGGUCUACAGUAUAUCUCAAUGGGUUUGGUCCAGGUCUACAGUAUAUCUCAAUGGGUUUGGUCCAGGUCUACAGUAUAUCUCAAUGGGUUUGGUCCAGGUCUACAGUAUAUAUCAAUGGGUUUGGUCCAGGUCUACAGUAUAUAUCCAUGGGUUUGGUCCAGGUCUACAGUAUAUCUCAAUGGGUUUGGUCCAGGUCUACAGUAUAUCUCAAUGGGUUUGGUCCAGGCCUACAGUAUAUCUCAAUGGGUUUGGUCCAGGUCUAUAGUAUAUCUCAAUGGGUUUGGUCCAGGUCUAUAUCUCAAUGGGUUUGGUCCAGGUCUAUAGUAUAUAUCAAUGGGUUUGGUCCAGGUCUAUAUCUCAAUGGGUUUGGUCCAGGUCUACAGUAUAUAUAUCAAUGGGUUUGGUCCAGGUCUAGAGUAUAUCUCAAUGGGUUUGGUCCAGGUCUACAGUAUAUCUCAAUGGGUUUGGUCCAGGUCUAUAGUAUAUCUCAAUGGGUUUGGUCCAGGUCUACAGUAUAUCUCAAUGGGUUUGGUCCAGGUCUACAGUAUAUCUCAAUGGGUUUGGUCCAGGUCUACAGUAUAUCUCAAUGGGUUUGGUCCAGGUCUAUAGUAUAUCUCA
ensembl:lncRNA